UGGGGAAUAUUGCACAAUGGGCGCAAGCCUGAUGCAGCCAUGCCGCGUGUAUGAAGAAGGCCUUCGGGUUGUAAAGUACUUUCAGCGGGGAGGAAGGCGAUAAGGUUAAUAACCUUGUCGAUUGACGUUACCCGCAGAAGAAGCACCGGCUAACUCCGUGCCAGCAGCCGCGGUAAUACGGAGGGUGCAAGCGUUAAUCGGAAUUACUGGGCGUAAAGCGCACGCAGGCGGUCUGUCAAGUCGGAUGUGAAAUCCCCGGGCUCAACCUGGGAACUGCAUUCGAAACUGGCAGGCUAGAGUCUUGUAGAGGGUGGUAGAAUUCCAGGUGUAGCGGUGAAAUGCGUAGAGAUCUGGAGGAAUACCGGUGGCGAAGGCGGCCCCCUGGACAAAGACUGACGCUCAGGUGCGAAAGCGUGGGGAGCAAACA
rnacentral:rRNA from 1 species